CCUACGGGCGGCAGCAGUGGGGGAUAUUGCACAAUGGGGGGAACCCUGAUGCAGCGACGCCGCGUGGGUGAAGGAGUGCUUCGGCAUGUAAAGCCCUAUCGGCAGGGAAGAAGCAAGACGGUACCUGACUAAGAAGCCCCGGCUAACUACGUGCCAGCAGCCGCGGUAAUACGUAGGGGGCGAGCGUUAUCCGGAUUCACUGGGUGUAAAGGGAGCGUAGACGGCCAUGCAAGCCAGGGGUGAAAGCCCGGGGCCCAACCCCGGGACUGCCCUUGGAACUGUGCGGCGAGAGGGCGGGAGGGGCAGGCGGAAUGCCUGGGGUAGCGGUGAAAGGCGUAGAUAUCAGGAGGAACACCGGCGGCGAAGGCGGCCUGCUGGACUGCGACUGACGUUGAGGCUCGAAAGCGUGGGGAGCGAACAGGAUUAGAUACCCCAGUAGUC
rnacentral:rRNA from 1 species